CCCUUAGAUGUUCUGGGCCGCACGCGCGCUACACUGAUGCAUUCAACGAGUAAUCUUUGACCUUGGUCGACAGAUCUGGGUAAUCUUUUGAAAUUGCAUCGUGAUGGGGCUUGCGGGUUGCAAUUACCCGCACCAACGAGGAAUUCCUAGUAAACGCAAGUCAUCAACUUGCAUUGAUUACGUCCCUGCCCUUUGUACACACCGCCCGUCGCUCCUACCGAUUGAGCGAUCCGGUAAAUGUUUUGGAUUGGUGCCGGGGCGGCUAGCUGCCGGUCGCUACGAAAUUUUGUGAACCUUAUCGCUUAGAGGAAGGAAAAGUCGUAACA
rnacentral:rRNA from 1 species